UACAAUUUUUAGGGUUAGGGUUUCUUCUCACCACUCUAUAAAAACCUCCGCAUCUAACAAUCCUCAUAACCAAAUCUUCGGCAAACUCUUCGAAGCUUCUCUCCUCGAUUUUAUUAUUAUGAUUUUUUUUUUUUAAUAUUUCUCAGUGUUAGAUCUCUUAAGCUUUGAACAUUUGUCUCUUCAUUUGAUUUUAUUUGUUGAAUUUUCGCAACGGAGAAAGAAGCCUAAUAUUGCAAUUCUCUGAUCUGCCGAUAUGGAAAUCGAUCAGAGAAUCUAUCGUUAGGCGAUACGGAAGGUCGGUAUGCAUAUAACUUCUAUGUGUAUUUCUCCCUUUAGCUCCGAAUCUCCUCCUUCCUCUUCUUGGAACAGUGGGAUGUUUCGGUGACAAGGUUUAUGAUGUGAAAGGAUGAAAAAAAUCAGACGGAUUCCCAAUGAUAAUCCAUGAUAUUACAACCAGCUACUUCUGAUCACAUCAAAACUACUUUCUCAUCUCUUUUUUUCACUUCUGAUUUUCUACUCUUUUCAUUUGAAUGUAUGAAAGAUUUGUUUGUAUGUUUUUUUUUGUUUCUAUUAACGAGGCCGGUGAUGUGAUUAUAAAUAUUUGCUACUCUUGAUGGAUUAAUACCAUAUGACGAUCACUAACCACCAAGAUCUCUGAGGCCUUUCUAAAAUUGAUCUCCAUUUUUCUAAGUUUCAUAUCAAAAUUUUCUUCAAUAUGCUAUAAAAUCCAUGUAUAACUGAAUUUUGUGUGAAGUUCGUAAGAUAUAUUCUUGAAAUCUAUUUUAUAUUUAACACAAAUUUAUAGACGUCGAGACUAUAGAAAUUAAAUUAAAAGGUGAUAGCCUAAUGACUGUCACCUUUGCACUUUUGAUAACUCAUACGAGACCAUAUUGAUUAGGAUGAUCGAAGUUCAACGAUAAGUCAUCCCUAAUAUCUAAUACUAACAUUCACAUUGUCCAUCUUUAUGUUGAGAAAAAAGAGA